GGGGCUGCUAAGCUUCGACAAGAGUUCUUUGACAGAUACCGCAAGUCCGAUUAGCCUAAUUUCUCGGUUAAAAAAAUAAGGCAAAUCAUAAAUGCCAAUUCAUUGGUAAGCAGAAUUAAGAAUGCUUUUGCAUUCUCUCCUGCUCUGGCUGUUGCUUAAUUAAGCGAUAACCCAUCUGCUCCGUAAAGUCUGUGCGCGGAUCACAGGUGUUAUAUUAUCCGGACUCAUUUUGGCCGGUGCUCGACAGCCAAAAGACACUUAGAGCUCACCUCAAGCAGCUUUGGUCCGCUUCUAUUGCUUGGGGGACACCAUAAAGCGGUCUAAGCUUGUAGACGUGUUUGCCAAAAAUUUUUGGACGGGAGUGCAAUUCUCCCCAGCUCCACCA
rnacentral:tmRNA from 5 species